CAAGCUCUCAGAUUUUUUUUUUUUUUUUUUUUCGCUCUAUCACCCAGGCUAGAGUGCAGCGGCGUGAUCUCGGCUCACUGCAACUUCCACCUCCCAGGUUCAAGCGAUUCUCCUGCCUCAGCCUCCCGAGUAGCUGGGAUUACAGGCACAUGCCACCACGCCUGACUAAUUCUUGUAUUUUUAGUAGAGACAGGGUUUCACCAUGUUGGUCAGACUGGUCUUGAACUCCUGACCUCUUGAUCCGCCCGCCCUGGCCUCCCAAAGUGCUAGCAUUAUAGGCGUGAGCCACACACCUGGCCAAACUCAGCAUUUUCAAAAGUCAAGGAAGCAUUAAUAUAUUUUAGAAAUACUUUCAUUUAAAAUAAAUUUCAGAACUCUGUAUUAUUUUUGCAAUUUUUCUAUAAAUCUAAAACUAUUCUAAAAUUUAAAGGUUUCUGUUUUUAAAAAAAUAAAUUUGAGUCUUCUAGUAAGACCAGGCAGUUCCUCCUAUAGGAUCAACUCUGCCUAUCAUAACAGCUAUAACUUCCAGACAAAAACAACCACCUGAAGGCACUGGAGAGUGACAAAAGCAGGCAAAUAUUGGAGGGGAGUUGGCACUUGGAGGAAGGGAACUGCACUGGACAAGUUUCCCCAAGUUUUAUCUUUUAGCCUUGCACCAUGCAGGGCAGCUAAAACUCCAAUGGAAAAUUCACAGUUCUGCUGACUUUAAAAGCCAAAAAACAGUCUAGAGCAACCAUCACCACUGCAAAGAAAAUAAAGUAAGACACCAUUAAAAAGAGAGAGAGAGAGAACCAGCACAGGGGAGCCCUAAAAUCUGCAUAAAUCUGUCUAAAUCUCUCGCUGAUCCGUGAAACACACAUGCACAGAGCAGGCUCCAAGUAGGCCAGCUAAGAGAACUGAACUGAAAUGUACACUGCCACCUACUAUGGGGGGACAGUUUUGCAGCUUGAAUUCAGGUAAGUUAAUCAAUUGCCUGCUUUAGAAAAGAAAAUCAAUGCUUUUAAGACGGGCAUAACAAAAUUUAUAUAUAUAAAUUAUCAUUUAUCAUUUGUAAUAUCCAGAAUAUAAUCCAAAAUUACUCCCUAUAAGAGAAAUGGAAAAACCUGACCCAUUCUCAAGAAAAAAAAAAAAAAAGUAAUCAAGGAGACUACCCUAAGAUGACCCAGAUUCUACAGUUUGCAGUCAAGGAUUUUAAAGCAGUUAUGGUAACUAUGUUCAAAUAACGAAAGAAAAAUAUGCUCAAAAUAAAGGAAGAUAGGAAAUCUCAGUAGGGAAAGAAAUCACACACAAAAAUGUAAAUUCUAGAACUAAAAACUACAAUAUCUAAAUUAUUUUUUCAUAUUACUAGAUCGGCUUAACAGUAGAAUAAAGAAGGAAAAGAAAAAAAAGAAAAGAAAAGAGAGGGAAAGAAAGAAAGAGAAAAGAAAGAAAGAAAGAGAAAGAAAGAAAACAGAGAGAGAAGAAAGAAAGGUCUGUGAACAUAAAGACAGAACCAAGAAAUUAUUCAAUUUGAAGAACAGAAAAAAAAGAGCCUCAAAGACCUACGGGAAAAUACUAAAACAUUUAUAUUUUAGAGUUCCAGAAGGAGACAAUGAGGAAAAAAAUAUUUCAAGAAAUAACGGCCAAAAUUUUCCCAAAUAAAGAUAAAUUUACAGAUUCAAGUUUCAUGAACAUCAAGCAGAUUCAAUACAAAAAAUGCCAUACCUAAGUAUAUCAUAAUUGAAAUAAUGAAAAGCAAAAAAAAAAAAAAAAAAAAAGAAAGGAAGAAAAAGAAAAUCUUCACGGUAGCUAGAAAAAACAACACACUGCAUACAAGGAAAUAAUAAUUUGAAUGACUGCUGAAUUAUCAUUUGGAGUAAUGGAGGCCAGAAAACAUGGAAUCACUUUCUUUUUUUUUUUUUUUUUUUUUGAGAUGGAGUCUCACUCUGUCACCCAGGCUGGAAUACAGUGGUGUGAUCUCGGCUCACUGCAACCUGUGCGUCCUGGGUUCAAGCGAUUCUCCCACCUCAGCUGCCCCAGUAGCUGGGAUUACAGGCAUGCGCCACCACAUCCAGCUAAUUUUUGUAUUUUCAGUAGAGUCAGGGUUUCACCAUGUUGGCCAGGCUGCUCUUGAAUUCCUGACCUCAGGUGAUCCACCCACCUUGGCCUCUCAAAGUGCUGUGAUUAUAGGCAUGAGCCACUGCCCUCGGUUCUUUUUUUUUUUAGACAAGGUCUCGCUCUGUCACCUAAGCUGAAGCGCAGCUCUCACUGCAGCCUCGAUCUCCAGGGAUCAAGCCAUCCUCCCACCUCAGCCUCCCAAGUAGCUGGGACUAGGCACCUGCCACCAUGUCCAGCUAUUUUUUCAAUUUUUUGUAGAGACAGGGUCUCACUAGGUUGCCCAAGAUGGUCUCGAACUCCUGGGCUCAAGAGAUCUUCCACUUCAGCCUCCCAAAGUGCUGAGAUUACAGGCAUGAGCCACCAUGCCCAGUCAAGAACAUUUUUUAAAAUGCUGAAAGAAUAACAAUAACAACAAUAAAAAUCAACUCAAAAUUCUAUUUCCAACAAAACCAUCUUUAAAGAAUGGAAGAGAAGUCAAGAUAUUUUCAGAUACAACUAUUUAGAAUGUGAAAGUUUGGCACUAAAUGACUUAAUUUCAGAAACACAGAACACUAAUUUGUUUUUAUUAUAUUAAUCCAUGAUUAUUUUAUUUAAAAAAGAAGUUACUUAGCUGGGCGUGGUGGCUCACGCCUGUAAUCCCAACACUUUGGGAGGCCAAGGCAGGCGGACUGCCUGAGCUCAGGAGUUUAAGACCAGCCUGGGCAACACGGUGAAACCCCGUCUCUACUAAAAAUACAAAAGAAAUUAGCCAGGUGUCGCAGUGUGCACCUGUAGUCCCAGCUACUCGGGAGGCUGAGGCAGGAGAACUGUUUGACUCCAAGAGGCAGAGGUUGCAGUGAGCCAAGAUCGCACCACUGCACUCCAGCCAGGGCCACAGAGGGAGACUCCAUUUAUACAACAAAAAAAAUUAAAAUUAAAAUAAAAAAGAAACAUGCUCCUUUAUAAUUAUUCUCACUUUGGUUACAUCAAAAAAAAGUGCAUCUCUGGCUGGGUGCAAUGGCUCACACCUGUAAUCCCAACACUCUGGGAAGCCAAGGUGGGAGGAUCACUUGAAGCUGGGAGUUUUGAGACCAGCCUGGACAACACAGUGAGACCCCCAUCUCUAUGAAAAAUAAGAACAUUAGCCAGAUAUGGUAGUACACACCUUUAGUCCUAGCUACUCAGAAGGCUUAAGCAGGAGGAUCACUUGAGCCCAGGAGGUCAAGGAUGUAGUGAGCUAUGAUCUUACCACUGCACUCUAGCCUGGAUGACAAAGUGAGGCCCUGUCAAAAAAAAAAAAAAAAAAAAAAAAGGUGCAUCUCAAACUUUUUCAUUGUCUAGCCCUCAUUUUUAAAAAAUAUCUGCUAACCAAAGAUAAAUUCACUAACUGCCAGGGUCUUCCCUUGUUUAUCAACUAAAGACAACUAUGUUGGGAGAUAGGUGAAAUGCUUCUGCAAGUCAAAAUGCAGCAACCCACUUUUCUUAAGGGUAUACACAUUAUACUGUAGUAUAAACUAGAUUCACAAAGAAUCCCAAGAGUACAAGAAAACAAUGAAAU
rnacentral:lncRNA from 1 species